UACUGUUCAUCAUCGUCUCCUCAACCCCUGAACCACUAGAGACGGCGGCGGCUUCUUCUUUCCCUUUAUUCCAGAAUCCCUUUUCCAUCCUCUGGUUCUUUCCAUUGUUCUCUCUUCUCCUUUUGCUCCUUACGUUUUCCUUUUUUUUUUUUUUUUCUGUUUUCUUCUUCUCUGAAACUAAAGCCACGUGCCACUGUUCAUCGUCAUCUACACGAACAACGGCGGUAUUCCUUAGCAACCACCUCGGUUCUUAUGAGUUUGGUGAAGAGGCUAUCUCCAACGCCAUCAUCUCCAUAUUGCUUCGUCUGUGUCAUCUUCUUGUUCAGUUUUCUACAGCGGACUGAGGUUUCCUCUGUUCCGUGACCUUCACACGAGUUCAGCCAGUCUCAGAAUUCGUCAAAGCAGGUUCGUACCAGGAGGGACUCGUCCAACCCCUCUGAUCUCCAUUUACAAAGUGCGUUGAGUUCACCCGUUACAGCGUCAAUCCAUCUCAAGCCGACAUACUUCAGAUCGUCCGGAGGAGGUUACGGGUCAAAGCACUGUUCAAUCUCUUCUUCACGCAAACCAGCGACGGAGCAGCGAAAGAGGAAUUAUAGUCUUGCCUGGGCAGAACACGUGCGCAACGUCGAUCUCAACUUCACCAAGUAAUCUGGGUUUCUCUGAAAUCCAGAAACGGACCAUUCCUCCUCCCACUGAAGUUCAGCCAGUUUUCCGUCAACGUUUUGGGAAUAAGCGUGAUCAGUUGCUGGACACAUGGGGCUAUAGUGUGGGUGAGGAACCAUUUUCUAAUAGAGAGGAUGAUGGUCAUGGGUGGGGUCGGAGGGGGCAAAAGGAUUUUGCAAAUCAUGCGUGGAAUCUAUGAAAUAUCAAAUUCUUUGUACAGAGGCCAAUGAGUAUGCAUCGAUAAGAAAGUAGAAUGAGUUACUUCAUGAUGAAGUUAAUAGGCUCCGUAGAAUGUUGAGAAAUAAUGGGUUGGACCUGGAUGCAGUACCAUUUAGUGAGGGGCUGGUAGGUUUAGCAACCUGCGUGCCAGGCGAUGAUGAUUAUGGUGUAAACUUGCCUGUUGGAGUUGCAUGUGGCACCACAGGGGCAGAGCAAUCUCCUAAAAGGACGAGCAUUGUAGCCCCAUCUUGCGAGAUUGUUAAUGUCUCUCCCUCCAUUGCAUCUACUUACAAAUGCAAGUUUCCCCAAGCAAGGAGAGAGCGAAAGCAAAGCAACACAGUGGUCUUGCCCUACCUAGCUCCUAGGCAGCAAGGGUAGGUAGCGAAAGGGUUUGCCAUUGCUGCAGGGUCCAAAAGAGCAGUAAAGGGGAAGGUGGAGUGAUAAUUGUUGUUGUAUGUAGGGUUUAUUUGGUUAUUGUGUUUAGGGUAGAGUUGGUUAGUAGUUUGGUGACUAGUGGAGUAUUUGUAGUAGUUUAGCAGUUGUGAAACGGUUCUUGAACAACUCCAAGAGAGGGCAAGUGCAUAUGAUACUAGAUUUUGUUCAUUUAA